UACGGAGGGGGCUAGCGUUGUUCGGAAUUACUGGGCGUAAAGCGCACGUAGGCGGCUUUGCAAGUCAGAGGUGAAAGCCCGGGGCUCAACCCCGGAAUUGCCUUUGAGACUGCAUCGCUAGAAUUGUGGAGAGGUAAGUGGAAUUCCGAGUGUAGAGGUGAAAUUCGUAGAUAUUCGGAAGAACACCAGUGGCGAAGGCGACUUACUAGACACAUAUUGACGCUGAGGUGCGAAAGCGUGGGGAGCAAACAGG
rnacentral:rRNA from 1 species